UUGCCCGGAUGCUCUCUCUGGUGGACAUCAAUCUGGUUUUAGUACACCCUAUUGACUCAUGAUAUUUUGCGAAGACUGUCAUGCAAAAAUAUCUUCUCUCUCUCUCUCUCUCUCUCUCUCUCUCUAAUAAAAAAACAAAAAAUUGUCACUGUUUGCAGGAGACAAAAAGAUUUUGGUUCAUGUUAGUUUUAAGUUCGUUAUAAUUUAUCUUCUGAGGAUGCAUAUCUACUUUAUUACCUUCGGUGUAGAGGUUGGCUUGACCAUCUUGUUUUGCUAUAUGUUCAAUACUAUUGGCUGUAGGAAAAAUUGCCAUCGGAAUUUUAGUUAUGCUGACCACUUGGAUAUAACUAGAACCUGUUGCCUUCUGAAUCCUCCGAACAAAGUGGUACACAAUUAGGAUCUUUACAUCUGAGGUAUCCUUGUUGCUACCCUGUUCCUCUCUCUCUCUCUCUCUCUCUCUAUAUAUAUAUAUAUAUAAUUCACCCCAAAGUUUAAUAAAAGUUGACAGGAAAGCCAGGAACACCAAUGUUUGUUGUGCAUCUGACAGUUUUGAAGAUUAAUCUUAAACGCUGUGUUUGGUUGGGAGAUUUGGAGAGAGAUUUGAAAAGGAAAAGGGAAAAAGUGUGUGAAGUUAGAUGAAAUGUAAGUAUAUUUUAUUCACAUUUCACCUACCUUUUCUAUUUUCCUUUCCAAAUCCAUCCUUAAAUCGUCCAACCAAACACACCAUAAAAGUUCCAUGUAAGACUAUGUAACAGAUCAACUGCCAAAGCAUAUCUGUACGCAAACUAACCUGCCAUUUAACUUUUUGUGUUCUUAUUACAUAAAUCAAGAUUCUAAAAUUGUUUAUGCGAAUUGGUUUUGAACACCUUUGCUCCAGAUUCUGUAUCUGGAGGCAUGGUUGCAUGGGGUUGGUCCAUGUUUAACAGUUGUAAUGAUUGAACUGCUCUUGCUUACUUGGAUUGUUGUCUUUGAAUGUUAAUUUAUAUUUUGUUAUCUAGGAUAUCAAUACUACAGAAACCUCUGCGUUAGUUACUAGGAUUGUUGUCUUUGCUUGUUAAUUUAUAUUUUGUUAUCUAGGGAUAUUAGCACUAGAAACUUGUGCAGUUUGAUGUAGUUGAUAACAAAGAUUCUGAAUCAAAAUCAGGGCCGAAACCGUGUAGGGGCUGGAGGGGUCUUGGCCCCCUUUGAUUUUUUACAAUUUAUUAUUACUUUUUUAUUUAUGAAUAUUUGUAAAAUAUAUAAUGGGAUGAUUUUUUAAUUUUAUAAAAAUUAUCUUACUAACUUUUUAUUUCAUUAAUAUUUAACAAUGUAUAAUGAAAAUGAUUCCUAAUAUUUUUUUAUUUUAAACAAUAGUAUCAAUUUUAUUGAGUCAAUUUUAUUAAUACAAAAGGUACAUACAACUUAUUCUUUUAAUUUUAAAAUAAAAUAGUAUAUAUACCUUUUUAUGAGUAACGUUAGACAAUUUAAAAUUUCACUCCUAAAUUUAUUCACAAUAACAUAACAGGAGUUGGAGUCUUAACUGAUUGACCUCUAAAUAAUCAAACAGGUCACAUUCAAUGUUAUUGAAUGUAAAUUUGAGGUCAUGUUUCAGAGAUCUUAGGGUUGAUUUGGGAAGUGGGUUAACUUUUUGGAUUUUUUGGUUUUUUUUUGUGAGAGAAGAGUGUAAUGAUUACGGGUUGGAUGUGAUGUUUUGUUUUUUGUGACUAAAAUAACCCAUUUUGUUUUUUGUGGCUAAAAUACUAAAUUAUAUUAAUCAAUAAAUAACUUAAAAUAGUGGUUUAACCGAUUGUAUACUUGGAUCUAACAGUUCAAAAUUUUGAAAAAUUAAAAAAACUUUUUAUUAGAUUUAUAUAAUUUUUUUAUGAAAUACUUCUUUCACAACAUUUAUAUAAGCAGUUAUAUUCAGUUGCAAAUGUAUCAAAACUAACUCAAUAUUUUUUAUGCAUAUAUAUUGGCCUCUCCUGAACAAAAUUCUUGUUCCACCCCUAAUCAAAAUGUUUACGACUGAAAUAUUUUUUAUUAGAAGGUGUUUUCAGUUGGAACAAAGGGAUCGGUAGUUUCAAGAAGAGGGAGAGGGCCAAGGAAGUCAGUAUAUUUUGAGUCAGUCCCCUUCCAAUUUAUCAUCCUCUUAUUUUCUUAUUGUCUUAAAUAGGACAGCAAAUAAACAGACUCGUUUAUGAAUAGGCUUGAGCUCGGCUCGUUCAAACUCGGUUCGUUAAUUUUUUUUUUGCGUUCGAGCUCGAGCUCGAACUCGUUAAAUUUUUAAUAAACAAGUCUAAACAUUCUAAAAUUCAGCUCAUAAGCUCGGCUCGUUAGUUGACUCGUUUAAUAUUUAUUAUCUAUAUAUUAAAUAAUGUAAAAAUAUGUACAAAAAAUAAGAUAAAUAUGUUAUUUAUAUAUUUGAAAAAUAUAAAUAUAAA